AGUGCCAUACAAUAGCCUUUUAGUUUUAGAUGUAUAUCAUAGUGAUUUGAUCUUUAUAUAUUACAAAAUGCUCUCCAUGAUUAAGUCUAGUUGCCAUCUACCUCCAUACAUAGUUAUUACAGUAUUAUUGACUACGUUCCCUAUGCUACGCACUAAAAUGCUAGCCCAGGGGAAGCAAACUGUCUACGAUGAAUGAAUGGAUAAAGAGGACCCGGCGUUCUUAAUUCAGAUCCCAUCUCCUCCACUUAUUAUAUGAUUUCAGACAAGUUUACUCAAUUUCUCUGCUUGUUUUCUCUUCUACAAUACGAGUAUGAUAAAGCAAGAGACGUCGUCGUUAUGAAAAGGGAGGUAACCUAUAGACCGUAGCUUUAAACCAGUAAUAUCAGGGCAGAGACUGGAUAGAGUGCGAGAGACUCCUUCAUGAUUGGGAGAGAAGCUGGGGGCGAGUCUGUUUUAUACAGGGAACUCUAUGUUCAAAUGAAGCGAACCCCUAUGAACAUUCAAGGCACAGUAUACAGCUACAGGAAGAGUAAUAAAUGAAUGAAGAAAUUUCUUCCGUGAAAGUUGUGAGGAUGUUUAGGACGGGCGCCACUCUGUUACCUAAACCGACUCCCCAUCUUUUCAGUUGGUAACACCUCCUCCGAAGAGUUUGGAGCUGAGCAUUCUGGGCUUUGUAGUAAUUUCCUUGAUAGAGUUGGUCCAACAGAAUCAUCCAGUCGCGAGAGACUACAUUUCCCAGGAGCCUCUCCGACCGGUUAUUUGUUUGUCCAUCCUGACUUCCGGCGUCGCUGCGCUCUCUAGGGCCAAUUGGGAUGCUGGGGUUGCUGGCUCCCAGCACUCUGAUUGGUGCGUUCGACUAAAGAGCCUGGGUUCAAAUUUUCAACGGACUGAAUGAGUCCCGCGGCGGGAUUGGCGGGCGCUCCGUUUUGAGGCAAGGUCUUGAUAAGAAGUACUUGCUAGGCUUCAAGAUUUCAGAAGAGGUAAAAGAGUAUAUUGUAACUUCUGUGAUUAAACCACAUACAGGAAGUGACCUGUUGAGAAGAGUGACACGAAUACUGGGGAAAGCGUGCUCUUCUGUGCCAAGGAGGGACAAUGUCACAAGUUAAAAUCUCCUAUUCCUAUGAUGCUCCCACGGACUUCAUAAAUUUUACAUCUUUGGAUGAUGAGGAAGAUCACCAAAACAUAGAUUCUUGGUUUGAGGAAAAAGCCAAUUUGGAGAAUAAAUUUCCUGGGAAGAAUGGGACAGGAGGUAUUUUUCAGAGCAAAACUCCUCUGAGGAAGGCUAAUCCUCAGCAAGCUCUUGUCACACCUUUGAGACCAGUUGACAAUACUUAUUACAAAGAGGCAGAAAAAGAAAAUUUGGUGGACCAGUCCAUUCCAUCAAAUGCUUGUUCUUCCCUGGAAGUCAUGGAAAACACCUCAAGAAAUACUCCAGCCCAGCCUCAGAGAAGAUCUCUUAGACUCUCUGCUCAGAAGGCUGUGGAACAGAAAGAAAAACACCAUGUAAAAAUGAAAGCCAAGAGAUGUGCUACUCCUGUGACCAUCAGUGAAAUUCCACCCUCCAAAAAAAUGAAAGUGCAGAAGAUUCUGAAGAGUACUGAGGAGAAAGAACUGGAGAAAACAAUGAAAAUGCAGCAGGAGGUGGUGGAGAUGCGGAAAAAGAAUGAAGAAUUCAAGAAACUUGCUCUCGCAGGAGCAGGGAAACUUGUGAAGAAGUCAGUGAGCCAGGUAACCAAAUCGGUUGACUUCCACUUCUGCACAGAUGAGCGAAUCAAACAACAUCCUAAGAACCAAGAGGAGUAUAAGGAAGUGAAUUUUACAUCUGAACUGCGAAAGCAUCUUCCAUCUCCUGCCCGAGUGAUUAAGGGAUGUACCAUUAUUAAGCCUUUCAACCUGUCCCAAGGAAAGAAAAGGACAUUUGAUGAAACAUCUUCUACAUAUGUGCCUCUUGCACAGCAGGUCGAAGCCUUCCACAAACGAACCCCCAACAGAUAUCACUUGAGGAGCAAGAAGGAUGAUAUUACGCUGUUACCCUCCAAAUCUGCUGUGGCCAAGAUUUCUAGAGACCCACAGACUCCUGUGCUACAAACCAAACUGCGUGCAAGGCCUGUGACCUGCAAAAGUGCAGUGGAUCAGGAGGCCGAGGAGAUCGAAAAAUUGCAACAAUACAAAUUCAAAGCACGGGAACUUGAUCCCAGAAUUCUUGAAGGUGGACCCAUCUUGCCCAAGAAACCACCUGUGAAGCCACCUACUCAGCCUGUUGGCUUUGAUUUGGAAAUUGAGAAGAGAAUCCAGGAGCGGGAGUCAAGGAAGAAACCCGAGGAUGAACACUUUGAAUUUCAUUCCAGACCUUGCCCUACCAAGAUCCUGGAAGAUGUUGUGGGUGUUCCUGAAAAGAAAGUACUUCCAAUCACUGUCCCCAAGUCACCGGCCUUCACACUGAAGAACAGAAUUCGAAUGCCCUCCAAAAUCGAGGAAGAGGAACCAGUAGUGAUAAGAGCUCAUCCUGUGCCACACUGUGGGGUGCCUUAUAAACCCCAAAUCUCAGAGGCAAGAACUGUGGAAAUAUGCCCAUUCUCUUUUGAUUCUCGAGACAAAGAACGUCAUUUACAGAAGGAGAAGAAAAUAAAAGAACUGCAGAAAGGGGAGGUGCCCAAGUUUAAGGCACUUCCUUUGCCUCAUUUUGACACCAUUAACCUGCCAGAGAAGAAGGUGAAGAGUACGACCCAGGCUGAGCCUUUCUGCUUGGAGACUGACAAAAGAGGUGCUCUGAAGGCACAGACUUGGAAGCACCAGAUUAAUGAUACCAAAAUAAAAGAAAAAAAACCAGCUGGAGGAAGAACUGAAACAGCAGAAGGAAGCAGCUUGCUUCAAGGCUCGUCCAAAUACCAUCACUUCCCAGGAACCCUUUGUUCCCAAGAAGGAGAAAAGAUCUGUUGCUGUUCAGGAACCUUUUCAGCUGGCCACUGAGAAGAGAGCCAAGGAACGGCAAGAGCUGGAGAAGAGAAUGGCUGAGGUAGAAGCUCAGAAGGCCCAGCAGCUGGAGGAGGCCAGGCAGCAGGAGGAAGAGCAGCAGAAGGAGGAGCUGUCCAGGCUACGGAAAGAACUGGUGCACAAGGCAAACCCAAUCCGCAAAUACCAGAGUGUGGAGGUCAAGUCAAGCGACCAGCCUCUGACGGUGCCUGUAUCCCCCAAGUUCUCCACUCGCUUCCACUGCUAGACUAAGCUGUGCACUGCAGACACUACUUGGGAAGAGGAGUUACUCUUUCCAUCAAACCGGGAGCCUUCUUGCGUUGUCACCAGGGCCUAGAGAGAAACUGUUCCUCCAGACUUGCUCAUACCCAUGCCUGACAGCAUACCAGACAAGGGUGGACUCCAGUUUUGUUGAGAAUUGUUUUCCUACAUUAUUGAAGCUAAUAAUGAGACUCAAACUCAUGUAUGUAUCAGUCAGAUUCCAUGUAGAUAUUUCUUUGUACCAUCAAUUGACCUUUAAUAUGGGUCUUAACUCUAACUAAAAUUUAAGGUCUUUAUGUCAGCACAGUGUAAUUUGUAUUGCUCCUACCUCCCUCUCCCUUUUUUCUAUUUUAAUCAGAAAAUAAAGAUAGUUAAAUACUGAGGUAGGAUUUAAGUCAUGGCUUAAA